CAUUCAAAGAAGGGCUGCUAAUAGGGGGGGCGGCAGUGAACAGGACACGAAGGUUCAGUAAUCCCUUGUUUAAGAACUGAACCUACUGCUCUCAGCGACUCCUUAAAUAUGAUAAAUAGUUCUGUCCUGCAGUCCAAGCUCACUUGAUGGCAGUAUUGCACCCUUAAACUAGUCUGCCUGCCGCCGAUGGACAGAAGAAGAAGAAGAACAACAACGAUGGUGGCUACUUGAAGGCCCCUUUACUGCAGCUGUCUGUGGGCUGCAGCUCCCGCUUAAAAAGGAGACGAAGACAUGCAGCAGCUUUGGCUUCCGGUCCGAGAAAACAUGCAAGAAAAUAAUAGGUAACAUGCCAGGACUGUAGUUGACAUGCCUCUUGAGAUCAAACUGGGACACUCGUGGGAUGCAUCUAGGUGAAAUAAACCAUAACAAUGUCUGCUCUCAAAGCAUGCAUCACGCUGCCAGUAUACAGCCAGUCUUAAUGGUCAUUUUUAUUCUCUGUUUUUAUCCCAGGUGCUUGGUAGGAAACCCCUGAGAGAGGAGCUCUGUUGCGUAGCUGCUGAAGCAUCCGUACCUCCGGCUGAAGCCACGUUAUCUCCUGAUCCAGGUACAGAUGAGGAAAGUAAAAGGAUUGACGUUGUUUGGUGCCAACAACACGCAUUGUCUACAGUCCAAACGGCAACCGUAAGAGGAUCCUAACAGACCUGCCAACCUCUCAGCCUACGAGCAGCAGAAUCCUCUGAGCAGCUGAUAAUUUGGCCAGAACUGUACAGCAGCAGCAGCAGCAGAAGAGGCUGGAUGUCACAGAGUGUACAUAGACCAAUCGCAUCCUGUUUCUGCUCACAUGCUCGCCCUCAGCUGCACUUCACUCCACCCACUACCUUCUCCGUGUCAGAGAAGGAAGUCAAUAGACUGUUUCAGAGGCAGGAACCCUGUAAAGCAGCUGAGCCGGACUAUGUCUCCCCAUCCGCCCUGAAGCGCUGUGCUGAUCGGCUGUCUCCGUGUGUUCGCAGACAUUUUUAACACCUCACUGGAGACAUGCCAUGUGCCUGCCUGCUUUAAAGCAUCCACCAUCAUCCCUGUCUCCAAGAAACCAAGGACCACAGGACUAAAUGACUUCAGACCCAUCACCCUGCCCUCUGUGGUAAUGAAGUCCAUCAGGACUAAAACCUCUCGCGACAGAAACACCUUCUUUCCCUCUGCAGCUAGCCUCAUUAACAAGGCCCCGGUCCUCCACUGACACUUCCCCCUUGCAAAUAAUACGAAUAUCUCAGCACAUGUCGAUACUAUUUUAUUCAAUUUUAUAUUGUUAUUGUAUUCUCAUGACAUUCCUAUACAACUUGUUUUUGCUUUUUAACUAUACAUUUCCAGAUGUAUUUAUGUCAACUGUAUGUGUGUCUAUGUCUAGCACCUUACCACCAAAGCAAAUUCCUGGUACGUGUGAAACACUACUCGUUUUUUUU